GGCUGCGAAGGAUGGGGGAGCUGCAGGAGUGACGGCAGCCCCGCUGCGGCUGCUGCUGGGGUGGCUGCACAGGGGCAGGGGGGCUGUGCCAAGAUAGAGCGCCUGUGCCAGGACACUGACCCGGGAGCCGAGUUAAUGCCGACCACGGGGGUGGAGAUUUCCUCCUGGCCAGACUCUUCCCGUCUCCAUCCUGCAUUUCUCUCGAGAUGAUGCCUUUGAACACCAUGCCGGAGAUGGGUGCUGGUGACACUCUGCCGGUGGAGCAGCCAGGCUGCAGGAUUCUCUAAGACCCUUGAAGUAAACCUGCCCCCGAUCCCACCUCUCUCAGCCAUCAGAGCACAGAGGAGAUUGAAUGGUUCUGGGAUGCAGCAGGACACGGAUCAAAGCUCCCCUUUUGUCCCUUGAUAAUAACAUGAAUGGGCCAGC